ensembl:lncRNA
GGAUAUAUUGAUAACUGUUGCUGUUUCCCACUGGCCUCAUUGCAGUCCGAUCCCAGCUUUGUUUCUGCCCUAUGGUCAUCCAGUGCCCAGUUCUCCAGACUGCUGUGAAUAAUCUGCACUGUGGGUCUUGCCUUCUGCCUUGCUGAUGAGAGAGCAUUGCAUGUUUGAGGAGGCAGGUCCUUCUCCCUGAACCAUGCUCCAUGCAGGCCUGAGGGAAGCACGCUCUCUGAGCUGAGUUGCUCUGCUGGAAGACAGCUGGUGUGUUUCCCAAAUGAGGGUAUGCCAUGCAUUAGCAUCACAUGGGUCUGUGCGCCUUUCAACUGCAGUCAUGAGAGUAAGAAGAAGAGUUUUGAGAUAUUUAUAUGAGCGUUUUAUGCAGUCUCACAAGUGUAACAAAAUAAAAGGAGUAAUUCCCACAGCUGGUUUUGUAGCUCUGGUGUAUGAAGCUGUAUGAUGCCUUCUUUUUUCUGCUCAUCACUGGCUGCUUGUGACUGUCAUCAGUCCAGGUGAAUUUUUGUUUGUGUGAGAACUGUAUAUGUG